GGUUAAUAACCACAGCAAUUGACGUUACCCGCAGAAGAAGCACCGGCUAACUCCGUGCCAGCAGCCGCGGUAAUACGGAGGGUGCAAGUGUUAAUCGGAAUUACUGGGCGUAAAGCGCACGCAGGCGGUCUGUCAAGUCGGAUGUGAAAUCCCCGGGCUCAACCUGGGAACUGCAUUCGAAACUGGCAGGCUUGAGUCUUGUAGAGGGGGGUAGAAUUCCAGGUGUAGCGGUGAAAUGCGUAGAGAUCUGGAGGAAUACCGGUGGCGAAGGCGGCCCCCUGGACAAAGACUGACGCUCAGGUGCGAAAGCGUGGGGAGCAAACAGGAUUAGAUACCCUGGUAGUCCACGCCGUAAACGAUGUCUACUUGGAGGUUGUGCCCUUGAGGCGUGGCUUCCGGAGCUAACGCGUUAAGUAGACCGCCUGGGGAGUACGGCCGCAAGGUUAAAACUCAAAUGAAUUGACGGGGGCCCGCACAAGCGGUGGAGCAUGUGGUUUAAUUCGAUGCAACGCGAAGAACCUUACCUGGUCUUGACAUCCACGGAAGUUUUCAGAGAUGAGAAUGUGCCUUCGGGAACCGUGAGACAGGUGCUGCAUGGCUGUCGUCAGCUCGUGUUGUGAAAUGUUGGGUUAAGUCCCGCAACGAGCGCAACCCUUAUCCUUUGUUGCCAGCGAUUAGG
rnacentral:rRNA from 1 species